rnacentral:rRNA from 1 species
UAAUACGAGGGGGGCAAGCGUUGUCCGGAUUUAUUGGGCGUAAGGAGUUCGUAGGUGGAUUAGUCAGUCGAAAUUAAAAUCCCACGGCUUAACCGUGGUUCCGGUUUCGAUACUGCUAAUCUUGAGUGAGGUAGAGGUAGGCGGAAUUCCUGGUGUAGCGGUGAAAUGCGUAGAUAUCAGGAGGAACACCAAAGGCGAAGGCAGCUUACUAGGCCUAUACUGACACUGAGGAACGAAAGCGUGGGGAGCAAACAGGAUUAGAGACCCUGGUAGUCCACGCCGUAAACGAUGAGUACUUGAUGGUGGGGGAUUCGACCCCUUCACUGUCGGAGCUAACGCGUUAAGUACUCCGCCUGGGGACUACGACCGCAAGGUUG